rnacentral:tRNA from 1 species
UGUUCUGUGGCUUAGUUGAUUAAAGCACCUAUCUAGCGAAUACAGAGUUGUGGGUUCGAAUCCCACUAGAACGA